UACAGAGGGCGAGCAGCUGUUGUCGAAUUAUUGGGCGUAAAGGGCGCGUAGGCGGCUUGGCAAGUGGAUGGUGAAAUCCCUCGGCUUAACCGAGGAACUGCCGUCCAAACUGCUUCGCUUGAGACCGGGAGAGGUGAGUGGAAUUCCCAGUGUAGCGGUGAAAUGCGUAGAUAUUGGGAGGAACACCAGUGGCGAAAGCGGCGCACUGGACCACAACUGACGCUGAGACACGAAAGCGUGGGUAGCAAACAGG
rnacentral:rRNA from 1 species